AUAGUAAUAUAAUUCUGCAUAUCGGUCUAUCUUCCAGUUCGAUCUUUCUAGAUACUUGCAAGAUAUGUCGUACGCGCACGUGUACAGAUGUGUGUGUUUAUUAUUCGAGCUUGUAAUGAUAUCACGUACUUUUUGUGAAUUAAUAGGUUAAUAGGUACAUCCGAGUUUUGUCUAUGACUGCGUGUCGCGAGAAAUCAUCGCGACGAACAACGUUGCCGUGAAGCAGGAGUUCAUUGCGUUUGCCCACCACCGUUAUCAAAGUUAUUAACCUAAUUGCAACUGAAAGAGCGUGUUGGAAUGUCUUCGGGCAAUGAAAAAAUAAAAGGAAUAGCGAGUGGAUGUGGUAUCCAUGUGUUACGAGAACACGUGGGUGGUGAUUGCAUCAAGGACGUACCGGCAGUAGGUUUGCACCGACGUUGAUAGGUUCAAAAAAAGAAGAUGAAAGGUUGCCAAAACGCCGUUUGAUGAAGGUUGGUAUUAUAAGCAAUUAAUUUGAUAAUAGGCUCGAACUUUUUUCUAUAUAUAUAGAACAGGACUUGUAAAUCCAUUAUCUAAGUUAGUAUUAUUAUUAUACUAACAUUUAAUAAA